UACACUCCUACGGGAGGCAGCAGUGGGGAAUAUUGGACAAUGGGCGCAAGCCUGAUCCAGCCAUGCCGCGUGAGUGAUGAAGGCCCUAGGGUUGUAAAGCUCUUUCACCGGUGAAGAUAAUGACGGUAACCGGAGAAGAAGCCCCGGCUAACUUCGUGCCAGCAGCCGCGGUAAUACGAAGGGGGCUAGCGUUGUUCGGAUUUACUGGGCGUAAAGCGCACGUAUGCGGACUAUUAAGUCAGGGGUGAAAGCCCGGGGCUCAACCCCGGAACUGCCUUUGAUACUGGUAGUCUUGAGUUCGAGAGAGGUGAGUGGAAUUCCGAGUGUAGAGGUGAAAUUCGUAGAUAUUCGGAGGAACACCAGUGGCGAAGGCGGCUCACUGGCUCGAUACUGACGCUGAGGUGCGAAAGCGUGGGGAGCAAACAGGAUUAGAUACCCGAGUAGUCCCA
rnacentral:rRNA from 1 species